GACGAACGCUGGCGGCGUGCCUAAUACAUGCAAGUUGAGCGCUGAAGGUUGGUACUUGUACCGACUGGAUGAGCAGCGAACGGGUGAGUAACGCGUGGGGAAUCUGCCUUUGAGCGGGGGACAACAUUUGGAAACGAAUGCUAAUACCGCAUAAAAACUUUAAACACAAGUUUUAAGUUUGAAAGAUGCAAUUGCAUCACUCAAAGAUGAUCCGCGUUGUAUUAGCUAGUUGGUGAGGUAAAGGCUCACCAAGGCGAUGAUACAUAGCCGACCUGAGAGGGUGAUCGGCCACAUUGGGACUGAGACACAGCCCAAACUCCUACGGGAGGCAGCAGUAGGGAAUCUUCGGCAAUGGACGAAAGUCUGACCGAGCAACGCCGCGUGAGUGAAGAAGGUUUUCGGAUCGUAAAACUCUGUUGGUAGAGAAGAACGUUGGUGAGAGUGGAAAGCUCAUCAAGUGACGGUAACUACCCAGAAAGGGACGGCUAACUACGUG
rnacentral:rRNA from 1 species